AGGAUUUUCAAGAGAGGCGGGCAAUAUGUACAAGGAUCAUGGCAGAAAAUGGUGCAAACUGGCAUUCUCUACAUAACUCAAUGUUGUAUAAAAUUAUGUGCAACACACAAUUCGAUUGCUUAUUUCAUGAUGCACACAAUUCAAAAAAUUAUGUAAAACUGAAAGAAAAAAAAAGUAAUGAGAAAACCCAGCGAGAUGGAGCAUCUGUAUCCAUGGCAAAGUGAGAUUUUAUUUUUCUCCUUUCAAAUAUUUUUUAAAAGAGGGUACCGAUUGCGUUACCAGCUUUACAUUGGUAAUGUUACUCUGGUAGUGUUGUGAAGGAAAAUUUGUAGUCAAAACUGGAGUCAGGACACAAGUAAUGAGGCCAGUUCCCUGUAAGACAUUCUGGCAGCUUGCCUUAGGUAAUGGCAAUACACUGGGGACAUUAAAGAUAGGUUUGGUAAAACCUUGCAGGGAUGGUGACAGCUUAAAUCAAGAUAGUUUUAGAGGGGGUAAAUUUUGAGGGUUUUUUUGUUUGUUUGUUUUUGAGUGAAAAGCUCAGCAGCUCAACAUGGCCAUCUUUACAUUGGUGACACUUCCCACGCAUGAGACUGGUUGUCGCACUGCAUUUUGAGACCCUGAUGAGAUGGGGUUUGUUAGGUCUGGUACCAGACAAAACAGAAAAGCCGGCCUCGGAACAACUGUCGCCAUGCAAAGGAGGCCCGGGUUGUGUGGGAGGGCAGCUGCAGAAAACGGCCUCUAAUACCAGUCGACGGAAUGGUGCACCUAGUAUUUCCCACUCCUGGUGAUUCACAGCCCAAGAUGGCGUCUGAAGCGGAAGUGAGGGGGCGUUGGCAAGAAAACGUGGCGCAAUUCUUGUUUCAACACGGUAAACUCCGCGCCUGAGGAUUUGUCUGCAGCAGGGCUCCCCAUUCUCACUUAAAGGCGCGCUUCAUUUUGCUGGGUGACCAGUCUUUCUCGGCAGCCUGGCGUCAUUAACUCGCUCGCUCAUUCAUUCAUUCAUUCAUUCACUCAUUCACUCACUCGUUCACACAUCUGCACCCGGGACUCGCUUCCGGCUGCAGGGGCGGAACCUCAGCUCCCCGCCCGGUGCGCGCGCGCGCGACCCCACCCCCACCCCCGCCAGAUCCCGGAAGCGCGCCGGGUAGAGGGCGUGGCCGUGGUCCGGCCGGGAUCUCCCGUCCCUAGUCUGAGUUACCUAGGCAACAGCGGCAGAGGCGGGCCUGACGUCACGGGCGGCGCGCCUCCGCACUGCGGCACUGAGCUGGCUGGACAGCGCGCGUCGCCAGCGGUCCUGCCGGCCAAGCUGCCGCCUCCCUCGUCCUCGCCUAGGCGCAGGGAACCGCUUCGCGCCGCCGCCGGGCUGUCCCUCCUCUCUCCUGUUACCCUCAAAGUAACCUUCUGGCUACCUUAGAACUAAAAUUGGCACUAAAAGCCUAGAGAAGUGAGCAGCACGUGAAGAUUCAGAGGACAAUGUUAGUGUAGAGCCAUACAAACAAGAAAAGACAAGUAAACACUACCCAGAUCGCACAGGAAAUGGAGCCAGAAACUCCAGAGAAGGUGGAUUCUGCACAAGAGAAAGUCAGAGGCAAGACCCCGACAGCAGAUGAUUCAGAUGACAGCCGAGAAAAGACUGGCAUAGAAGAGAAAGGAGAACUGACCGACGCCUAUCAGCUGCAGGUAGCUGAAGAAAUGGCAAAGGAGAUCAAGAAGAAAAUAAGAAAGAAGCUAAAGGAACAGCUGACCUACUUUCCUCCAGACACUCUAUUGCAUGACGACAAGCUGGCCAGUGAAAAAAGAAAGAAGAAGAAGAAGAAAGUGCCAGUGCCCACUAAGCCUGAGUCAAGUCCCUCAGAUGUCUGUGACAGUGCAGUUGAAGGGGAACAAAAGAAAGAAGGUACCCCUGAGGACUCUCAGCACAUGGAGGGAAUCUGCUCGAGAGAGCAGGAUGUGGAUGCCACUGUGCCAGAGAACGCAAAGCCCAAACCCAAGAAGACAAAGAAGAAGACUAAAGCAGUUUCAAAUGAUAAUGAAGACACUAAUGGAGAUGGUGUUCAUGAGAUAACAAGCCGAGACAGCCCAGUUCAUCCCAAGUGCUUGCUGGAUGAUGACCUCGUCAUGGGAGUCUACAUUCACCGAACCGAUAGACUUAAAUCUGACUUUAUGAUUUCUCACCCAAUGGUAAAGAUCCAUGUGGUUGAUGAGCACACUGGCCAGUACGUCAAGAAAGAUGACAGUGAACGUCCUGUUUCAUCUUAUUAUGAGAAAGACAACGUGGACUAUAUUCUCCCUAUUAUGACACAGCCAUAUGACUUUAAAAAGCUAAAGUCAAGGCUUCCGGAGUGGGAGGAGCAAGUUAUUUUUAAUGAAAAUUUUCCCUAUUUGCUUCGAGAGUUUGAAGAAUGUCCAAAAGUCAUCCUGUUCUUUGAGAUUCUUGACUUUUUAAGCAUGGAUGAAAUCAAGAAUAACUCUGAGGUUCAAAACCAAGAGUGUGGCUUUCGGAAAAUUGCCUGGGCGUUUCUUAAGCUUCUGGGAGCCAAUGGGAAUGCAAACAUCAACUCAAAACUUCGCCUGCAGCUCUACUACCCACCGACUAAGCCUCGAUCCCAGCUAAAUGUCGUCGAGGUUUUUGAAUGGUGGUCCAAGUGUCCAAGAAAUCGUUAUCCAUCAACAUUGUAUGUAACCGUACGAGGAUUGAAAGUCCCGGACUGUAUAAAGCCAUCUUACCGCUCUAUGAUGGCUCUCCAGGAGGAAAGGGGUACACCAGUGUACUGUGAACGUCACCGUGAAACAAGUUCCGUGGACACAGAACCUGGACUAGAAGAUUCAAAGGAGGAAGUGAAGUGGAAACGUCUGCCUGGCCAGGCCUGUCGUAUCCCAAACAAGCAUCUCUUCUCACUGAAUGCUGGAGAACGCGGCUGUUUCUGUCUUGAUUUCUCUCACAAUGGAAGGAUAUUAGCAGCAGCCUGUGCCAGCCGAGACGGAUAUCCGAUUAUAUUAUAUGAAAUUCCUUCUGGACGUUUUAUGAGAGAAUUGUGUGGCCACCUCAAUAUCAUUUAUGAUCUCGACUGGUCAAAAGACGAUCGCUAUCUCGUUACUUCAUCCUCUGACGGCACUGCCAGAGUUUGGAAGAAUGAAAUCAAUAGCACGAGCACGUUCAGAGUCUUACCUCACCCCUCCUUCGUCUACACGGCUAAAUUCCACCCAGCCACACGGGAGCUGGUGGUUACAGGAUGCUACGACUCUAUGAUAAGGAUUUGGAAAAUUGAUGCAAGGGAGGAUGCUGCCAUAUUAGUGCGCCAGUUGGAUGUGCACAAGAGCUUUGUCAACUCCAUCUGUUUUGACGAUGAAGGUCACCACAUGUACUCAGGAGACUGCAUCGGGGUCAUCGUUGUCUGGGACACGUACGUCAAAGUGAAUGAUGUGCAACACUCCGUGCGCCACUGGACGAUAAAUAAGGAAAUUAAGGAAACUGAAUUCAGGGGAGUUCCAAUAAGUUACCUGGAGGUUCAUCCCAAUGGAAAGCGUUUGCUAAUCCACACCAAAGACAGUACUCUGAGGAUUAUGGACCUGCGGAUAUUGGCAGCCAGGAAAUUUGUGGGUGCAGCAAAUUACCGUGAGAAGAUCCAUAGCACCUUGACGCCGUGCGGGACUCUGCUCUUUUCUGGGAGUGAGGAUGGGAUAGUAUACGUUUGGAACCCAGAGACAGGAGAACAAGUGGCAAUGUACUCUGACCUGCCAUUCAAGUCCACAAUCCGAGACAUCUCUUACCACCCCCUGGAGAAUAUGGUUGCCUUCUGUGCCUUUGGACAGAGCGAGCCGAUUCUUCUUUAUAUUUAUGAUUUCCAGGUAGCCCAGCAGGAGGCUGAAAUGUUGAAACGCUAUAGUGGGACACUCCCGUUGCCUGGGAUACAUCAGAGUGAGGAUGCUUUAUGCACCUGCCCUAAGCUGCCCCAGCAGGGCUCUUUUCAGAUUGAUGAAUUUGUCAACACUGAAAAUAGUUCAUCAAGAAAGAUUCAACUUGUGAAACAGAGACUCGAAACUGUCACAGAGGUGAUACGAUCCUGUGCUGCAAAAGUCAACAAAAAUCUCUCAAUGACUUCGCCACCACCAGGCCCUGCAAAGAAGCCCAGGGUAAAGCAGUCGUUCGUGCUGACCACUGAUGAGAUCAUACAUCAGUUUGGACUCCCCCAGACUGCAUUUAUCAGCAUAGAGAGAGGGCCUUUUGUGCGCCAUGUUGAUCCACCACCAAUGGUAGUGGCUCUUUAUGACUACACAGCCAGCCGAUCAGAUGAACUAACCAUCCAUCGUGGAGACAUUAUCCGAGUGUAUUUCAAAGAUAAUGAAGACUGGUGGUACGGCAGCGUAAGAAAGGGGCAGGAAGGGUUCUUUCCAGCUAAUCAUGUGGCCAGUGAAACACUGUAUCGAGACUCCCCUCCGAAGGUAAAGGAGCGCUCCCCUCCUUUAACUCCCAAGGAGAAAACUAAACCAGAAAAGCCUCUGGCUUCUCAAAAGGGUGGCCAUGAAGAGGAGACGAAGUCACAAACCAACUGAGAGGUGUGUGUGGAAAGGAGGGAAGGAAGGGCCGGCUGCCAUGCUCCUUGGCCUCGCUGAUGGUGGGGGGGGCACUUGUGGGCUGAUUGCGGUCCAGCCGUGGGGGCUUUUGUUUAAGAUAAAAUAAAACAGCUGACAGAGACAACUCCUUCUUCCCCCUCCUACUGCCUCCAUGAGCACUUCCCAUAUGGCUGCUGCUGCUGAGACCAAGGAAUGACAGUCGCUCAGUAAGGGCAGACCCCUGGAUCCCAGACUGGGCCCGCAGCCUGUGGGGCAUUCUGAGAAGGGCAAAGAUCAAAACGUGGAGGACCGAGGACACAAAGUAGAUAUGGAGACAAAGAAAAGCGAGCCGGUGGUCCGCAAAGUCACCCUGAUAGAGUAAAAAGCUGGAGACGAAGCAGAAGCCGCCUGAUGAGUGCACAUGAUGUGACGUCCACGCCAGACGGAGUUCUCGUUAGAUUUUGGGUGAAAAGAAGCAGUAUUUAUUGACCUUAAAAAUCUGAAGCAAACUUAGCUCUAAAAAGAAAAAAAUCACUGUGGCCUUUGGGCUUAAUUGUUAUGAACCAUUGUGAGUGUUACUGGUCAAAGUAUUGUGCUUGUGCUAUUAGUAACUACAUCAGAAUUAUAUUGCUGCUGCUGGAAAAGCCAAUAGAGAAAACCCCAGAACUGCUACUCAGUAAAUGUGAAUAACAGUGUGCGCAGUGUUAGUCAUUCACUAAGCCAUCAUCCCGUGUACUUGUGGCCAUGAUGUGGCUGUGCCGUAGGCCGUCAUCCCGUGUACUUGUGGCCAUGAUGCAGAUGCUCUGCUUUUGAAGUUAGCCGCGUGUAAAACCUAAGUAGCUGCUGGAUAUUGUGUCUUCAAACAGCCCCAGUAACAAACGCGGUAGAAACGACAGUUUGCUUUUGAGAACUAAAUGUUUGUGUUUCCCUUGAGUGAAUGUAUGUCACUCAACACUCCUAGACUAAGAAUGAUUUUGGCUGGACUGACAACAGUACACCAAAUUUAUUUUUAUUUUUUAGACAGAGUUUAUAUUUAACAGCAUAAGUAAUUUAUGGAUGUAAACUCUGUAGUGGUUAUAGUUUAGUCUGAAUAUUUGUUUUUAAAUUAUUACACAGCAUUAUUUAUGUCUUUAGUUUCAGAAUAACAGUGCCAUUACCAUAUGUUUGUAUGUUGCAGUUGGAUAUAGCUGAGACUCCUCCAUCUUGGUUUUCUCUUCACUCAUCCAUUUCUUCAGCUGCAUGAUAAGUCUGUCAGUAAAGCAUUUAACCCCAACAAGGUCAGACUAUGGUAAAGUUAGAAAAACAUAUUUACCGAAGUACACAAUUGAUCUCAUUGAAAUAAGAAGUGAGAACCGCUCUGUUGAGCACUGAGGUGUAAACGUGCCCAGAUGCACAGCGUGAGUAGCUUCGAGUACGCAUCUGUUUGCACAUGUUGUAGAAGCUUAAAAUGGGAACAUGACCCUGCUGUGGAGAACCUUGGUAGAAUUGUUGUUAGUACUAAAGGAGAUUUCCAGCGCAUACAGGGUGGCACUGAAAACUGCUGAAGCCCACAGCCCUCAGCCCCGAAGGCUCAGCGGCCAGUACCAGCGGCCUUGCUGUGGUUGUGUGUCUGCGUCCCUGGCACACUUGGGCAGGCAGCUCAGUCACUCUGAACUUGCUUCUCUUCUGUCUUGUGAGUGUGCUGCUUGAGACAAUGAAAAAUAAAGCUGUGUUCCUACCCCUUCA